rnacentral:rRNA from 1 species
GAUAAACGCUGGCGGCGUGCUUUAUGCAUGCAAGUCGCACGGUCAAUCGCAAGAAAGACAGUGGCAAACGGGUGCGUAAUACAUAAGUAACCUGCCCCUAAGUGGAGAAUAGCUCCGGGAAACUGGAGAUAAUGCUGCAUGUUGUGGUGAGGGUAAUGCCUCAUCAAUAAAGCCCGUAAGGGCGCUUGGGGAGGGGCUUAUGUCUGAUUAGCUAGUUGGUGAGGUAACGGCCCACCAAGGCUUUGAUCGGUAGCUGGUCUGAGAGGAUGGUCAGCCACAAUGGGACUGAGACACGGCCCAUACUCCUACGGGAGGCAGCAGCAAGGAAUUUUGUACAAUGGGCGAAAGCCUGAUACAGCGACGCCGCGUGAAGGAUGAAGACCUUCGGGUUGUAAACUUCUUUUCUCAGGGAAGAAUUAUGACGGUACCUGAGGAAUAAGCUUCGGCUAACUACGUGCCAGCAGCCGCGGUAAUACGUAGGAAGCGAGCGUUAUCCGGAUUUAUUGGGCGUAAAGAGGGCGCAGGCGGCCUUUCAAGUCGAAUGUCAAAACUCCCGGCUUAACUGGGAGAAGUCAUUCGAUACUGUUAGGCUCGAGGGCUGUAGGGGGAGAUGGAAUUCCCGGUGUAGCAGUGAAAUGCGUAGAUAUCGGGAGGAACACCAGUGGCGAAAGCGGUCUCCUUGGCAGUUCCUGACGCUUAUGCCCGAAAGCGUGGGGAGCAAACAGGAUCAGAUACCCUGGUAGUCCACGCUGUAAACUAUGAGCACUUGACAUAGGGAGUAUCGACCCUCCCUGUGUCGAAGCCAACGCGUUAAGUGCUCCGCCUGGGGAGUACGGUCGCAAGACUA